GUUCAAAUCUUUUGCCUGUUUCUUCCUCCACAAAGUGGUGGCCACAGGCCUUCUCUCACCCCUCCCCAUUCCUCCUGUCACUAGAGUAGCACUCUGCCCAUGGGCUUCCAUCUUGGGGGCUUUGUCUCCAGACACCCUCACCCCAUUUCAAACCUAGGAGGGACCUCAUUACUCCCAGGGCUCAGGGCCCUGACACCUCCCAGGGCUCCCAAAGACUCCAAGGGUGCCCCCAUUCCUCAGGCCACCAUACUCUUCCAGUUCCCCAGUAGGGAAACAUUCAGUGCAGAUUGACUGAGUGUCUACCAUGUGGAAGGGACUUCCUAGGUGGCCCAGUGGUCAAGAAUCCGCCUGCCAAUGUAGGAGUGUCAGGAGACACAGGUCCCAUCCCUAGGUGGGGAAGAUCCCCUGGAGGAGGAGGCCAUGGCAACCCAUUCCAGUAUUGUUGCCUGGAGAACCCAUGGACAGAGGAGCCUGGUGGGCUACAGUCCAUGGGAUUGCAGAGUCAGACACGACUGAGCAACUUUCCACCUAAGAUGUGGAAAGAUCUGUUGGAGGCCUCAGUACACCUCGGUAAACUUGGAUUCCGGUUUUGCACCCCAUUUUUAGUUGUCAGAGCUCAGGUGGGGCCUUUAACUUCUCUGGGCCUCGACUUUCCCCUCUGACACUGGAAUAACAACAUCCCCUGGGUGGAAAGAGUUUUCCCUUGGCGAUGGGAAAGAGAGGCAGCGGCUGAGGCAGGGCGAGGCCAAGAGUGCGCGCUGGCUCUCAGGGCCAGGACUCCUUGGCGGCCGCCAGGUAGGUCACCGCGCUGGUUGGGGCGCCGAGCACGGGACCGGCCGGCUUCAGCCACGUCCAGGCCCGGGCUGGCCACCAGAUGAGCGCUCCCGAGCGCCCCAAACGCGUCGCGGGCGGCCGUGCGUCCACCAGGCCAAGUACAGGUCAUGGAGCGGCGCCCGGGGGGCGGCACGGACCCUAGGGGAAGCAGAGGAGGCGGUGGCGGUCCCCAGCCCGAGGGUCCCAGCGCCAGACAGUUCCUGGCGCGGCUGGAAGCUCGCCCCCUGGCGGCCCGAGCUGCGGCCGACGUGGCGGCGCUGGUACGCAGGGCGGGCGCCACCUUGCGCCUGCGCCCCAAGGAGGCCCUUAGAAUACCGGAAGGACAAUGACAUCAUGGAUUUGUCCCAAGAUCCCCUUGCCUCCUAGGAAGAGUUCCUGGCAUGUCAAGUACAGUCAGUUUUAAAAGCUCUGCGUUGUACUUCCCUGGUUGUGCUGUGGCUAAUGUUCAAGGCUCCCAAUGUAGAGGGCCAGGUUCAAUUACGUUGGGGAAUUGGAUCCUAAGUAACUACUAAGACCUUGCACAGCCAAAUAAAUAACAAUAAGUAUUAAAAAAAAAACUUGUGUAAUUUUGGGAAGCUUGAACCGUCCAUCUUGCCAAGAUUUCCUUCAUGAAUCUUGGGGUCUUGGAUUGGGAGAGAGGGUGGAAAAGGAGGAUGGGAGCUGCAGGAGAGCAUUGAACAGGGCCACGCUGAGAAUCCAGCACAAGCCUUGAGUCAAUAUUGGAUGUCUCUCCAUUUAUUUAGGUCUUUAAUUUCUUUCAACAAUGCUUUGCAUUUCCUAGAGUACAAUUUUUAUGCUUCUUUUGUUAAAUUUGUUCCAAAGUAUUUUUAUUAUUUUCAGGCUGUUGUGAAUGGAGUUAUUUUUUUAUUUCAUUCUUGUCUAUAGAAAUACAAUUGAUUUUUGUAUAUUGAUUUUCUAUCCUGUAGCCUCGUGAAACUUGUUAUUAGUUCUAAUUGUUUUUCAAUUGGUUCCUUAGGAUUUUCUAUGUAAUGACAUUUGCAAAUAGAGAUGGUUUUAUUUCUUUGUUAAAAAGGAAACAAUCAAUGCAAAAUGGAGUGACUUGUACUAAGCUCCACUGAUAUUUAAUAUCUAACCUAAUUGUACUUGCAGGCUAUCCUAGGAAUUGAAUUUUAAGCCAACUAGUCUGUGAGGUUUUUUUUUUCCUGGUCAGCACUAGUGAGGUAAUCUGCCUAAGACAUCCUCCCUUGCCUUCCCCUGAAGGGAAGGUGACCUUCCCAGAAAUAAUACUGUUUAAAU
rnacentral:lncRNA from 1 species